AUCAGGGUUGGCAAAGUAUUACCCGCCCGGGUUUUACUGGGCGGGAAAACCCGGGUUUUCCUGGGCUGGGCAAUACUCCCAGAAACGGGUAAUACUGGGCAAUAUGAAUUUUUAAGCUUAUUUCAACACAAAAUAAUAAAGACUUGUUGUAGUUUCAUAGUAUUAUAGCUAAAUAUAUACAUUUUAUACAGAUAACCAUUGA
rnacentral:lncRNA from 1 species